rnacentral:rRNA from 1 species
ACGCUCGACACCUACGGGAGCCAGCAGUUGGGAAUAUUGGACAAUGGAGGAAACUCUGAUCCAGUGACGCCGCGUGAAGGAAGAAGGUCUUCGGAUUGUAAACUUAUUUUGUCAGGGAAGAAAAAAUAGACUGUACCUGAAGAAAAAGACACCGGCUAACUACGUGCCGGCAGCCGCGGUAAUCUGAGCGGGCUGGCAAGGC